rnacentral:misc_RNA from 1 species
GUGAAUCAUCAAAUCUUUGAACGCAAAUUGCGCUCCCCGGUAUUCCGGGGAGUAUGCCCGUUUGAGGGUCGUUAGAACAAAAAUCGAAGCGUCGCUCUUUUUUUUAAGGGUGAUCGCGUCGGAAUUGAGCCGUCUUUCAAAUGUUAAUGCAUGUCAAAGUGGCUUAAAAUUCAUCCAUCCGGUACGAUUAGAGCGUAUUUAAGAUCAAUUUUGAUUAAGAACGCGCGAUGAACGUACCAUCUCAUGUAGUACGUUUGACCUGGGUCAUCAGGUUCAUUCGUAUACGAUACUCGAACUUUUG